GACGAACGCUGGCGGCGUGCCUAAUACAUGCAAGUCGAACGCUGAAGGAGGAGCUUGCUUCUCUGGAUGAGUUGCGAACGGGUGAGUAACGCGUAGGUAACCUGCCUGGUAGCGGGGGAUAACUAUUGGAAACGAUAGCUAAUACCGCAUAAGAGUAGAUGUCGCAUGACAUUUGCUUAAAAGGUGCACUUGCAUCACUACCAGAUGGACCUGCGUUGUAUUAGCUAGUUGGUGAGGUAACGGCUCACCAAGGCAACGAUACAUAGCCGACCUGAGAGGGUGAUCGGCCACACUGGGACUGAGACACGGCCCAGACUCCUACGGGAGGCAGCAGUAGGGAAUCUUCGGCAAUGGACGGAAGUCUGACCGAGCAACGCCGCGUGAGUGAAGAAGGUUGUCGGAUCGUAAAGCUCUGUUGUAAGAGAAGAACGAGUGUGAGAGUGGAAAGUUCACACUGUGACGGUAUCUUAACAGAAAGGGACGGCUAACUACGUG
rnacentral:rRNA from 1 species